rfam:Daucus carota subsp. sativus cultivar DH1 chromosome 6, whole genome shotgun sequence.
CCGACCUUAGCUCAGUUGGUAGAGCGGAGGACUGUAGUGAUUAAUAUAUCGAAGCCAUCCUUAGGUCGCUGGUUCGAAUCCGGCAGGUCGGA